UACGGGGGGGGCAAGCGUUGCUCGGAAUCACUGGGCGUAAAGGGUGCGUAGGCGGGUUUUUAAGUCAGGGGUGAAAUCCUGGAGCUCAACUCCAGAACUGCCUUUGAUACUGAAGAUCUUGAGUCCGGGAGAGGUGAGUGGAACUGCGAGUGUAGAGGUGAAAUUCGUAGAUAUUCGCAAGAACACCAGUGGCGAAGGCGGCUCACUGGCCCGGUACUGACGCUGAGGCACGAAAGCGUGGGGAGCAAACAGG
rnacentral:rRNA from 1 species